rnacentral:rRNA from 1 species
UACGUAGGGGGCUAGCGUUGUCCGGAAUCAUUGGGCGUAAAGCGCGUGUAGGCGGUUCGGUAAGGCCGCUGUGAAAGUCGGGGGCUCAACCCUCGAAAGCCGGUGGAUACUGUCGGACUAGAGUACGGAAGAGGCGAGUGGAAUUCCUGGUGUAGCGGUGAAAUGCGCAGAUAUCAGGAGGAACACCAAUUGCGAAGGCAGCUCGCUGGGACGUUACUGACGCUGAGACGCGAAAGCGUGGGGAGCGAACAGG